GAUGAACGCUGGCGGCGUGCCUAAUACAUGCAAGUCGAGCGAACGGACGAGAAGCUUGCUUCUCUGAUGUUAGCGGCGGACGGGUGAGUAACACGUGGAUAACCUACCUAUAAGACUGGGAUAACUUCGGGAAACCGGAGCUAAUACCGGAUGAUAUUUUGAACCGCAUGGUUCAAAAGUGAAAGACGGUCUUGCUGUCACUUAUAGAUGGAUCCGCGCUGCAUUAGCUAGUUGGUAAGGUAACGGCUUACCAAGGCAACGAUGCAUAGCCGACCUGAGAGGGAGAUCGGCCACACUGGAACUGAGACACGGUCCAGACUCCUACGGGAGGCAGCAGUAGGGAAUCUUCCGCAAUGGGCGAAAGCCUGACGGAGCAACGCCGCGUGAGUGAUGAUGGUCUUCGGAUCGUAAAACUCUGUUAUUAGGGAAGAACAAAUGUGUAAGUAACUGUGCACAUCUUGACGGUACCUAAACAGAAAGCCACGGCUAACUACGUG
rnacentral:rRNA from 1 species